rnacentral:rRNA from 1 species
AGAGUUUGAUCAUGGCUCAGGAUGAACGCUGGCGGUAUGCUUAACACAUGCAAGUCGAACGGAACUCUUUGGAGUUUAGUGGCGGACGGGUGAGUAACGCGUGAGAAUCGGCCCUCAGGUUGGGGACAACCACUGGAAACGGUGGCUAAUACCGAAUAAGCCGAAAGGUGAAAGAUUAAUUGCCUGGGGAAGAGCUCGCGUCUGAUUAGCUAGUUGGUGGGGUAAAGGCCUACCAAGGCACCGAUCAGUAACUGGUCUGAGAGGAUGGCCAGUCACACUGGGACUGAGACACGGCCCAGACUCCUACGGGAGGCAGCAGUGGGGAAUUUUCCGCAGUGGGCGAAAGCCUGACGGAGCAAUACCGCGUGGGGGAGGAAGACUCUUGGGUCGUAAACCUCUUUUCUCAGGGAAGAACACAAUGACGGUACCUGAGGAAUCAGCAUCGGCUAACUCCGUGCCAGCAGCCGCGGUAAUACGGAGGAUGCAAGCGUUAUCCGGAAUGAUUGGGCGUAAAGCGUCCGCAGGUGGCAGUGUAAGUCUGCUGUCAAAGGUCAGGGCUCAACCCUGAACAGGCAGUGGAAACUACACAGCUAGAGUGCGGUGGGGGCAGAGGGAAUUCCCAGUGUAGCGGUGAAAUGCGUAGAGAUUGGGAAGAACACCGGUGGCGAAAGCGCUCUGCUAGGCCGUAACUGACACUCAUGGACGAAAGCUAGGGGAGCGAAUGGGAUUAGAUACCCCGGUAGUCC